rnacentral:rRNA from 1 species
CCUACGGGAGGCAGCAGUCGAGAAUUAUUCACAAUGGGGGAAACCCUGAUGGUGCGACGCCGCGUGGGGGAAUGAAGGUCUUCGGAUUGUAAACCCCUGUCAUGUGGGAGCAAAUUAAAAAGAUCGUACCACACGAGGAAGAGACGGCUAACUCUGUGCCAGCAGCCGCGGUAAUACAGAGGUCUCAAGCGUUGUUCGGAAUCACUGGGCGUAAAGCGUGCGUAGGCUGUUUCGUAAGUCGUGUGUGAAAGGCGCGGGCUCAACCCGCGGACGGCACAUGAUACUGCGAGACUAGAGUAAUGGAGGGGGAACCGGAAUGCUCGGUGUAGCAGUGAAAUGCGUAGAUAUCGAGAGGAACACUCGUGGCGAAGGCGGGUUCCUGGACAUUAACUGACGCUGAGGCACGAAGGCCAGGGGAGCGAAAGGGAUUAGAUACCCCGGUAGUC